UUUGGUGGUUCUAGCGGGAGGGGUACACCUGAUCCCAUCUCGAACUCAGAAGUUAAGCCUCCUAGCGCCGAUGAUACUUGGGUUUUAACCCUGGAAAAGUAGGUCGCCGCCAAAA
rnacentral:rRNA from 5 species